UCUCUAGCUUUUGUUUUAUCUUCAGUCCUUAAAUCAAUAAUAAAGAAGAUCCCUUUGAAAGAUCAGUGAUAAAGUAGAUCAGUUCUCAAAUAUGCUCAGUGCUGAUUAAGGAUGCAAGUGGUGAACCAGUGCAUAGUAUUGGAUCAGCUAGCUAGUUCAUUUUUAUCCCAUUUCUGUUGUUUGUUUCGAGAUUUGGAUUAGUUCAAUUAAAUAAGUUUUGUGUUGACCGAAUGACCCAGAGGAAUCAGAACUUGCAUCCCUAGUGCUGACACUAUUUAUGAGCUUCCUCUUAAACCAAUUUGAAGUUUCAGUUUUGAUUUAUAAGGGUGUUUCAAUGCUGCAGUUUAUGAAGCAUAGGCGCGCACUGUUGAUCAAUUAUUUUAUUGAGUCUAGGAGACUAGGUUUUGUUAAUUUGCUUCGACUCUGAAGGCCAGCAUGGAAAAACCAAAAGGCUUGUAUAAUGCAACUAAGGACGUGUAACAAGUGUUCUUAGGAAGUCACCGAGAGCUCACUUUAGUUGUCCCAUAAAUCAGUUUUUUAUUUAUUACACGAGGUUUGCUUGCUGCUGAAAUGUAAGCACAAGGUCAGCCUGUCAGAUAUUUAAAAAGAAUAUGCAGAAAUGUGAUAUAUGCGAGGAGGUGCAUUGGGCCGUCAUCCCUCAUUGACAUCCCAAGAUGGUCAUGACACAGGGAUGGUCCUGGGGAGCUAGAUGGGUACUGUAUGUUACAAGCAUGAUCGCAAGAAGCUGCCAGUGGCAGCGGAGAUGGUGUGCGGAUGUGUGACACAGGAAAGGCCUGCAGGAGUCAGGAUGUGCGCAUGGAGGAAGGGUCGUAAGGAGAUGCCGCCUAGAAAGAAAGUAUCCAGCGGAAGCAUGAAGGAGCAUAUGCCUCAUGUGGCGAGGCCUGCAGGAGUCAGGAUGUGCGCAAGGAGGAAGGGUCUUGAGGAGAUGCCGCCUAGAAAGAAAGUAUCCAGCGGAAGCAUGAAGGAGCAUACGCCUCAUGUGGUGUGAUGCUGGCCAUGUGGAGCAUAUAUAUGGAAACUGGCCAUUAUUUUUUAUGCUGCGUCUUAAGUUGUCAAUUAAUGGGAUUACUCUAACUUGCCCAUAACUUUUAAUCUCAAGUUAUCCUUGAUCAUUAUGGACAUUGUGGAAAAACGGGCAAGUUGACUUGUUUUUUUU